AUUGAACGCUGGCGGCAUGCUUUACACAUGCAAGUCGAACGGUAACAGGCCGCAAGGUGCUGACGAGUGGCGAACGGGUGAGUAAUGCAUCGGAACGUGCCCAGUCGUGGGGGAUAACGCAGCGAAAGCUGUGCUAAUACCGCAUACGAUCUAUGGAUGAAAGCGGGGGACCGUAAGGCCUCGCGCGAUUGGAGCGGCCGAUGUCAGAUUAGGUAGUUGGUGGGGUAAAGGCUCACCAAGCCAACGAUCUGUAGCUGGUCUGAGAGGACGACCAGCCACACUGGGGCUGAGACACGGCCCAGACUCCUACGGGAGGCAGCAGUGGGGAAUUUUGGACAAUGGGCGCAAGCCUGAUCCAGCAAUGCCGCGUGCAGGAAGAAGGCCUUCGGGUUGUAAACUGCUUUUGUACGGAACGAAAAGGUUUGGGUUAAUACCCUGGGCCGAUGACGGUACCGUAGGAAUAAGCACCGGCUAACUACGUGCCAGCCGCCGCCGUAAGAC
rnacentral:rRNA from 1 species